GACGAACGCUGGCGGCGUGCUUAACACAUGCCAGUCGAACGGAAAGGCCCCUUUGGGGGUACUCGAGUGGCGAACGGGUGAGUAACACGUGAGUAACCUGCCCUUGACUUCGGGAUAACUUCAGGAAACUGGGGCUAAUACCGGAUAGGAAUCCUUGCUGCAUGGUGGGGGUUGGAAAGCUUCGGCGGUUUUGGAUGGACUGGCGGCUUAUCAGCUUGUUGGUGGGGUAGUGGCUUACCAAGGCUUUGACGGGUAGCCGGCCUGGGAGGGCGACCGGCCACAUUGGGACUGAGGUACGGCCCAGACACCUACGGGAGGCAGCAGGGGGGAAUAUUGCACGAUGGGCGGAAGCCUGAUGCAGCAACGCCGCGUGCGGGAUGACGGCCUUCGGGUUGUAAACCGCUUUCAGCAGGGGCGAAGCUUGUGGUGACGGUACCUGCAGAAGAAGCACCGGCUAACUACGUG
rnacentral:rRNA from 1 species